AAAACAUUUGCAUUUAAAUGUUUAUUCUGGUUCAAUGCACUUCAAUUGUAACCGAUUUAGUGUAAAGGACUACUUCUUUUUAAAUAUUGAUGCACUAAAAUAUUUUCUGUGGUAAUUAGGAACACGCUCAAGGAUUAGGUCUAAUUUUGACUUGAGACUCAACCAUUAUGCAUGUCAAAAAGAAACUAAAGACAACCUGUUGAUUUUAGGAAAUAAACAAGAAACUGAACCCAAGUAACAGGUUAAACUUCCAGACAGGGCAUCUAUGAAUUUCAUGAUUUUUUUAGUAAUUCAUAGCUACUGAAAAUUAAUUGACUGCACACAAAGAGGCACCGAAAUACUUUAGAGUCGAGCGUAACAAGAAAUACGUAUAUUAUAGGCAUUUCCAAAUCAUAAUUGUAAAACUCCCUGAAACUUCCAGGUUUUCCAUAACCGUGGGAAUCUGCAAUGUGCGUAAACAUUUGCACAACCCUGCUUUGUGCAUUACAGGCAAAAGCGUGCAGAACAGCCCACACAAGAGGCUGUUUGAUUUAUUCAUCUACUGCAAUAAAAAAAAAGUACGACUCCACUGGUUCAUCAUUUCCAUAUAUUAUAAUACAGAUGCAGAAUUGAAAGUUUAUUCUUUAAACAGCCUAAUAUUUUACAAAGAAACGGAUAACUGUCUGUAACUUUCAAACAUGUCCUUAAAACAGGACACUGUUGAUUGCAUUUCCUCGAGUCCUACGUUGUUAUCGACGUCCGUCAACAUAGGGGGCAGCAAAGCGGGAGAGGAGAGAAGGGAAGAAAAUGGAAAACACUAAAAGAAUGAGGGGAGGAACGAAUAAAUUAAAAAAGGAAAUUGUAAUGGGAUAAUACAUAAUUUUUUUCCUCUGCACUCCUUUUAUUCACACUUAAAGAAACAUCAGUCGGGAGAUGAGCAUGAUCAUGAGCAGACGCUCCAUCUCAGUGGAGCGACACGGUGAAAUCGGUUGACUCCUCUCUCCUGCAGAAGCAAGGCUCUCUCUUCCUUUUCUCAAGGCAUUGCUUUUUUGGUUCUUUUCGUGGCCGUGGGGCAGCGCUGUUAUUGCAACUGUGGUUUCCUCUGGAUUAGGGAGGAAGAAAAACUUGCUGCCCCGAAUCUACUCCAAAGCAAAGAAUUGAGGAUAAAAAAAAAAAAA